CUUUUCUUUUAAGUGACACCUGCAGAUGUCUAAUCAUAGUUGAAAAAGUAAAACUCACAGAAAUCUUUCCUCAUCCAGCUGCUGCAGGCUGACAAGUUUCAGGGUGAAACAUGGGUGAAUCUGUGCAUGAGUGACAGUUUUAUUCUCCCACCUUAUGCCAAGCGGUGCGAGAGGAUUCCCUAAGAUGUCUGAGAAAUGAAAAGAGGUGGCAGCUUGCCACAAGAACUCUUUAGAAGAGGACUUGCUGCUUUUUAAACCCCAAGAUGGCACCCCUCAUGAGAAACAAUCAUCAUCAGUGUAAAGUUUCCUGUCAUAUCAGUCUGCCCACCACCUCACAGGACUGGUAUGUGAUGGAUCCAAGAAUAGAGGCUUUACCAGGACAUCAGACAGACAAAAGCCAAGCCGAUGAUCCAUCAGACAAUACUGGAAAUGUAUGAAUGAAUUUCAUGGACACAAAUCAGAAGUCACACAUGGACUUUGUACUCACUUCUGAUGUUUGUGUUGAUUCAAAUAGAAGAAAGGACUGAUACAUUCAAUGUUUUUCCACUGGUUAAACUAAAGAAUGUAAAAAUCCUGAUCUGAAAACAGCAACAUGACAUCUAAUACAAAAAGGAAGCUUCAAACAAAGUGAAUAUUCUUACCUUGAAUCCAGGCCUGUGUGCUCUGUUAGAAAACGUGGCAGUGAACGCUCCCAGUCUGCUUAAAUACCGUCCAUCUCUGCAUCAUCACGGGCCAUCAGUGACGCUUCACUGAAACUAUCCUCCUAAAAUAACUUGUGACGGAGCCGAGCCCUCUGACCCUUCAUCACCGGCUCAAAGAGGUCUGAACAUCACACAGUCACACAUUUGUUGUGGACUCACAGACAGACACAGGAAACUCUAACCAUCACUAACCCCACCAUCAGGCAGCUGCAGGCGUGGAGGCUCUGACAUGACGUUACAGGAUUAUGUUUAUAGAUGAUGGGAACUCAAAGCAUGGAGCUGACAACUGCAGAACUGAAUGUUAAUACACCUAACCACCAUGAGGUGAAUACUCUGCCUGAGGAGAGGAAAUCCAAAAGGCUCAUCAUCUUAACUUUAGCAGUUUGAGGAUAAUUCAUGACAUAUUUAAAGUGAA